CAGCAGCCGCGGUAAUACGUAGGGUGCGAGCGUUAAUCGGAAUUACUGGGCGUAAAGCGUGCGCAGGCGGUUCGUUAAGACAGAUGUGAAAUCCCCGGGCUUAACCUGGGAACUGCAUUUGUGACUGGCGAGCUAGAGUAUGGCAGAGGGGGGUAGAAUUCCACGUGUAGCAGUGAAAUGCGUAGAGAUGUGGAGGAAUACCGAUGGCGAAGGCAGCCCCCUGGGCCAAUACUGACGCUCAUGCACGAAAGCGUGGGGAGCAAACAGGAUUAGAUACCCCUGUAGUCCCUGUCUCUUAUAA
rnacentral:rRNA from 1 species